AAUCAACGCUGGCGGCGUGCCUCAGACAUGCAAGUCGAACGAUUAAACUUUCCUUCGGGAAAGAUAUAAAGUGGCGCACGGGUGAGUAACACGUAGGUAAUGUACCUUUGGGUGGGGAAUAACUUAGGGAAACUUAAGCUAAUACCGCAUAAUGCAGCGGCUCCUUCGGGAGAUUGGUUGUUAAAGAUUUAUCGCCUAAAGAGCAGCCUGCGGCAGAUUAGCUAGUUGGUAAGGUAACGGCUACCAAGGCAACGAUCUGUAUCCGACCUGAGAGGGUGGUCGGACACACUGACACUGAAUAACGGGUCAGACUCCUACGGGAGGCAGCAGUCGGGAAUUUGGGCAAUGGGCGAAAGCCUGACCCAGCAACGCCGCGUGAAGGAUGAAGUAUUUCGGUAUGUAAACUUCGUAAGAAUAGGAAGAAAUAAA
rnacentral:rRNA from 1 species